AAGAUCGUACUUCACAGGAUCAUUUCUGUAGUACAUCUAUCGUCAACUUAAACCUACAGUUGAAUCGAUGCAACCACGAUGACGAGACGUAGCGUCUUUUCCUGAGCGUGAGGAAGACUCGAGAAAUUGACUUUGUUUCAAAUUCUCAGUCAUCGAUGAUCGUUCACUUCUUGUACUUAGUAUGAGGAGGAUGGAAAAGAUGCGUUCUGAGUGGC